GCGGAAGGAUCAUUACUGAAUGGUCAAACAUGGGUUGUUGCUGGCCUCCCAAAUAGGGGCAUGUGCACGCUCUGUUUACACAUCCACUCACACCUGUGCACCCUCUGUAGUUUUAUGGUUCGGGAGACCCCGUCUUCCUGCUGUAGCUCUACGUCUUUACACACACGCCGUAGCGAUGUCCUGUGGAAUGUUUUUCUGCGUUUAACGCAAUACAAUACAACUUUCAGCAACGGAUCUCUUGGCUCUCGCAUCGAUGAAGAACGCAGCGAAAUGCGAUAAGUAAUGUGAAUUGCAGAAUUCAGUGAAUCAUCGAAUCUUUGAACGCACCUUGCGCCCCUUGGUUAUUCCGAGGGGCAUGCCUGUUUGAGUAUCAUGAACACCUCAACUCUCAUGGUCUUCCAUGACGAGCUUGGAUUUUGGGGGUUUGCUGGCCCUGUGGCCGGCUCCUCUCAAAUGAAUCAGCCUGCCAGUGUUUGGUGGCAUCACGGGUGUGAUAACUAUCUACGCUCGCCGUUGUCUGCCAGGUAACCCUCA
rnacentral:rRNA from 1 species